rnacentral:rRNA from 1 species
CGGGUGAGUAACGCGUGGGUAACCUGCCUUAUACAGGGGGAUAACAGUCAGAAAUGACUGCUAAUACCGCAUAAGCGCACAGAGCUGCAUGGCUCGGUGUGAAAAACUCCGGUGGUAUAAGAUGGACCCGCGUUGGAUUAGCUAGUUGGUGAGGUAACGGCCCACCAAGGCGACGAUCCAUAGCCGGCCUGAGAGGGUGAACGGCCACAUUGGGACUGAGACACGGCCCAA